rnacentral:rRNA from 1 species
UACAGAGGGUGCGAGCGUUGUCCGGAAUUACUGGGCGUAAAGAGUUCGUAGGCGGUUUGUCGCGUCGUUUGUGAAAACCAGCAGCUCAACUGCUGGCUUGCAGGCGAUACGGGCAGACUUGAGUACUGCAGGGGAGACUGGAAUUCCUGGUGUAGCGGUGAAAUGCGCAGAUAUCAGGAGGAACACCGGUGGCGAAGGCGGGUCUCUGGGCAGUAACUGACGCUGAGGAACGAAAGCGUGGGUAGCGAACAGG